UACGUAGGGCGCGAGCGUUGUCCGGAAUUAUUGGGCGUAAAGGGCUUGUAGGCGGCUGGUCGCGUCUGCCGUGAAAUCCUCUGGCUUAACUGGGGGUGUGCGGUGGGUACGGGUCGGCUUGAGUGCGGUAGGGGAGGCUGGAACUCCUGGUGUAGCGGUGGAAUGCGCAGAUAUCAGGAAGAACACCGGUGGCGAAGGCGGGUCUCUGGGCCGUUACUGACGCUGAGGAGCGAAAGCGUGGGGAGCGAACAGG
rnacentral:rRNA from 1 species